UACGUAGGGUGCAAGCGUUAAUCGGAAUUACUGGGCGUAAAGCGUGCGCAGGCGGUUUUGUAAGUCUGUCGUGAAAAUCCCCCGGGCUCAACCUGGGAAUUGCGAUGGAGACUGCAAGGCUAGAAUCUGGCAGAGGGGGGGUAGAAUUCCACGUGUAGCAGUGAAAUGCGUAGAGAUGUGGAGGAACACCGAUGGCGAAGGCAGCCCCCCUGGGUC
rnacentral:rRNA from 1 species